CAGCAGCCGCGGUAAAACGAAGGGGGCUAGCGUUGUUCGGAAUUACUGGGCGUAAAGCGCACGUAGGCUGCUUUGUAAGUUAGAGGUGAAAGCCUGGUGCUCAACACCAGAACUGCCUUUAAGACUGCAGAGCUAGAACGUCGGAGAGGUGAGUGGAAUUCCGAGUGUAGAGGUGAAAUUCGUAGAUAUUCGGAAGAACACCAGUGGCGAAGGCGGCUCACUGGACGACUGUUGACGCUGAGGUGCGAAAGCGUGGGGAGCAAACAGGAUUAGAGACCCCAGUAGUCCCUGUCUCUUAUAC
rnacentral:rRNA from 1 species